rnacentral:tRNA from 1 species
GACAGAGUGGCCGAGUGGUUAAGGCGUCAGACUUGAAGCGCUCUUUGAAACAGGAUCUCCGGAUCUGCCAGUAAAUGAGCCUAGAUAUCUGAUUCCCUAGGGAUCGCAGGUUCGAAUCCUGUCUCUGUCG